AAAUUGAAGAGUUUGAUCAUGGCUCAGAUUGAACGCUGGCGGCAGGCCUAACACAUGCAAGUCGAGCGGUAGCACAGAGAGCUUGCUCUCGGGUGACGAGCGGCGGACGGGUGAGUAAUGUCUGGGAAACUGCCUGAUGGAGGGGGAUAACUACUGGAAACGGUAGCUAAUACCGCAUAACGUCGCAAGACCAAAGUGGGGGACCUUCGGGCCUCAUGCCAUCAGAUGUGCCCAGAUGGGAUUAGCUAGUAGGUGGGGUAACGGCUCACCUAGGCGACGAUCCCUAGCUGGUCUGAGAGGAUGACCAGCCACACUGGAACUGAGACACGGUCCAGACUCCUACGGGAGGCAGCAGUGGGGAAUAUUGCACAAUGGGCGCAAGCCUGAUGCAGCCAUGCCGCGUGUGUGAAGAAGGCCUUCGGGUUGUAAAGCACUUUCAGCGGGGAGGAAGGCGNUAAGGUUAAUAACCUUGUCGAUUGACGUUACCCGCAGAAGAAGCACCGGCUAACUCCGUGCCAGCAGCCGCGGUAAUACGGAGGGUGCAAGCGUUAAUCGGAAUUACUGGGCGUAAAGCGCACGCAGGCGGUCUGUCAAGUCGGAUGUGAAAUCCCCGGGCUNAACCUGGGAACUGCAUUCGAAACUGGCAGGCUAGAGUCUUGUAGAGGGGGGUAGAAUUCCAGGUGUAGCGGUGAAAUGCGUAGAGAUCUGGAGGAAUACCGGUGGCGAAGGCGGCCCCCUGGACAAAGACUGACGCUCAGGUGCGAAAGCGUGGGGAGCAAACAGGAUUAGAUACCCUGGUAGUCCACGCCGUAAACGAUGUCGAUUUGGAGGUUGUGCCCUUGAGGCGUGGCUUCCGGAGCUAACGCGUUAAAUCGACCGCCUGGGGAGUACGGCCGCAAGGUUAAAACUCAAAUGAAUUGACGGGGGCCCGCACAAGCGGUGGAGCAUGUGGUUUAAUUCGAUGCAACGCGAAGAACCUUACCUGGUCUUGACAUCCACAGAACUUNNCAGAGAUGNNUUGGUGCCUUCGGGAACUGUGAGACAGGUGCUGCAUGGCUGUCGUCAGCUCGUGUUGUGAAAUGUUGGGUUAAGUCCCGCAACGAGCGCAACCCUUAUCCUUUGUUGCCAGCGGUNNGGCCGGGAACUCAAAGGAGACUGCCAGUGAUAAACUGGAGGAAGGUGGGGAUGACGUCAAGUCAUCAUGGCCCUUACGACCAGGGCUACACACGUGCUACAAUGGCAUAUACAAAGAGAAGCGACCUCGCGAGAGCAAGCGGACCUCAUAAAGUAUGUCGUAGUCCGGAUUGGAGUCUGCAACUCGACUCCAUGAAGUCGGAAUCGCUAGUAAUCGUAGAUCAGAAUGCUACGGUGAAUACGUUCCCGGGCCUUGUACACACCGCCCGUCACACCAUGGGAGUGGGUUGCAAAAGAAGUAGGUAGCUUAACCUUCGGGAGGGCGCUUACCACUUUGUGAUUCAUGACUGGGGUGAAGUCGUAACAAGGUAACCGUAGGGGAACCUGCGGUUGGAUCACCUCCUUACCUUAAAGAA
rnacentral:rRNA from 1 species